CACACACACACACACACACACACACACACACACAUACACACACACACAUACACACACACACACACACAUACACAGUGGAACCUCAGUUUUUUAACUUAAUUCAUUCCAGAAUGCCGUUCAAAAUCCAAAACCGAAACUGUUUUCCCCAUAGGAAUCAGUGUAAAAUAGAUUAAUCAGUUCUCAGACACCCACCCACCAUGUCUUAGCGGGUAAUUACUGACACUUCCACUGCUAAGAUGGCCACUCCACAACAUCUCCAGCUUAGAAUUUUUUUUUAUCCAGGAAGGAUGCACUGAAUGAACUUAGUGGUACAGAACUUAUCAAAAGAUAUUCUUUAGACCAUGCAGGCAUUCUCUUCAUCACCAAUCAAGUAAGGGAAGCCUUACAGUGACAGAGGAGCAACCCACUCACUGCCAAUAUGAAGAAGCAGCAGACAAAAUCUGCAUGCUAUGGGUGGAGUUGUGGCAACACUGGACACAAGCCACUGCUUCAAGAACUGACCGUUUGUUGCAGGCAGUCAGUUUACGUUAGUGUAACAAUACACAUAGCUCAUUG